rnacentral:rRNA from 1 species
GUCGAACGCUGGCGGCGUGCUUAACACAUGCAAGUCGAACGGUGACGGAGAGCUUGCUCUCCUGAUCAGUGGCGAACGGGUGAGUAACACGUGGGCAACCUGCCCCAGACUUCGGGAUAACGCUUCGAAAGAGGUGCUAAUACCGAAUACGAACGCCGUGGGCAUCCACGGUGUUGGAAAGGUUUUCGGUCUGGGAUGGGCCCGCGGCCUAUCAGCUUGUUGGUGAGGUAAUGGCUCACCAAGGCGACGACGGGUAGCCGGCCUGAGAGGGCGACCGGCCACACUGGGACUGAGACACGGCCCAGACUCCUACGGGAGGCAGCAGUGGGGAAUAUUGCGCAAUGGGCGAAAGCCUGACGCAGCAACGCCGCGUGGGGGAUGAAGGCCUUCGGGUUGUAAACCUCUUUCAGCAGGGAAGAAGCGAAAGUGACGGUACCUGCAGAAGAAGCACCGGCUAACUACGUGCCAGCAGCCGCCGUAA